rnacentral:rRNA from 1 species
UUGAUCAUGGCUCAGAUUGAACGCUGGCGGCAGGCCUAACACAUGCAAGUCGAGCGGUAACAGGGGAAGCUUGCUUCUCGCUGACGAGCGGCGGACGGGUGAGUAAUGUAUGGGGAUCUGCCCGAUAGAGGGGGAUAACCACUGGAAACGGUGGCUAAUACCGCAUAAUCUCUUAGGAGCAAAGCAGGGGAACUUCGGUCCUUGCGCUAUCGGAUGAACCCAUAUGGGAUUAGCUAGUAGGUGAGGUAAUGGCUCACCUAGGCGACGAUCCCUAGCUGGUCUGAGAGGAUGAUCAGCCACACUGGGACAGAGACACGGCCCAGACUCCUACGGGAGGCAGCAGUGGGGAAUAUUGCACAAUGGGCGCAAGCCUGAUGCAGCCAUGCCGCGUGUAUGAAGAAGGCCUUAGGGUUGUAAAGUACUUUCAGUCGGGAGGAAGGCGUUGAUGCUAAUAUCAUCAACGAUUGACGUUACCGACAGAAGAAGCACCGGCUAACUCCGUGCCAGCAGCCGCGGUAAUACGGAGGGUGCAAGCGUUAAUCGGAAUUACUGGGCGUAAAGCGCACGCAGGCGGUUGAUUAAGUUAGAUGUGAAAUCCCCGGGCUUAACCUGGGAAUGGCAUCUAAGACUGGUCAGCUAGAGUCUUGUAGAGGGGGGUAGAAUUCCAUGUGUAGCGGUGAAAUGCGUAGAGAUGUGGAGGAGUACCGGUGGCGAAGGCGGCC